ACGCUGGCGGCGUGCCUAACACAUGCAAGUCGAGCGGAGUCAGUAAGAGGAAGUUUCGGAUGGAAUCUUGUUGAUUUAGCGGCGGACGGGUGAGUAACGCGUGAGCGACCAACCUUGCACAGGGGAUAACGGACCGAAAGGUUCACUAAUACCGCAUGAGACCACGGUGUUGCAUGACACAGAGGUCAAAGGAGCAAUCCGGUGCAAGACGGGCUCGCGUCCGAUUAGGUAGUUGGAGGGUAACGGCCCACCAAGCCUAUGAUCGGUAGCCGACCUGAGAGGGUGAUCGGCCACAUUGGAACUGAGAUACGGUCCAAACUCCUACGGGAGGCAGCAGUGGGGAAUAUUGGGCAAAAUGGGGGAAACCCUGACCCAGCAACGCCGCGUGAAGGAAGAAGGUUUUCGGAUUGUAAACUUCUGUCCUUGGUGAAGAGAAGAAGACGGUAGCCAAGGAGGAAGCCCCGGCUAACUACGUGCCAGCCGCCGC
rnacentral:rRNA from 1 species